AAUCAACGCUGGCGGCGUGCCUCAGACAUGCAAGUCGAACGAUUAAAGCUCUCUUCGGAGAGUGUAUAGAGUGGCGCACGGGUGAGUAACACGUAAGUAAUCUACCCUCGAGUGGGGAAUAACGUCCGGAAACGGACGCUAAUACCGCAUAAUGCAGCGGCACCGCAAGGUGACAGUUGUUAAAGAUUUAUCGCUUGAGGAGGAGCUUGCGGCAGAUUAGCUAGUUGGUAAGGUAAUGGCUUACCAAGGCUACGAUCUGUAACCGGUCUAAGAGGACGGUCGGUCAGACUGACACUGAAUAACGGGUCAGAAUCCUACGGGAGGCAGCAGUCGGGAAUUUUGGGCAAUGGGCGAAAGCCUGACCCAGCAACGCCGCGUGAAGGACGAAGUAUUUCGGUAUGUAAACUUCGAAAGAAUAGGAAGAAUAAAUGACGGUACUAUUUAUAAGGUCCGGCUAACUACGUGCCAGCCGCCGCGGUAAAAC
rnacentral:rRNA from 1 species